rnacentral:pre_miRNA from 1 species
UCUUCAUUCCGUGUACUCUCUCACCGGUCAGAGUGUCGAGAGAGUGUGAAAAAUGAAAAGA